AAGGGUGUAGUUCAAGUGGUAGAGCACAUGCUUAGCAUGCAUGAAGUCCUGGGUUCAAUCCCCAGUACCUCCA
rnacentral:tRNA from 1 species